UGGGGAAUAUUGGACAAUGGGCGAAAGCCUGAUCCAGCCAUGCCGCGUGAGUGAUGAAGGCCCUAGGGUUGUAAAGCUCUUUUGUGCGGGAAGAUAAUGACGGUACCGCAAGAAUAAGCCCCGGCUAACUUCGUGCCAGCAGCCGCGGUAAUACGAAGGGGGCUAGCGUUGCUCGGAAUCACUGGGCGUAAAGGGUGCGUAGGCGGGUUUCUAAGUCAGAGGUGAAAGCCUGGAGCUCAACUCCAGAACUGCCUUUGAUACUGGAAGUCGUGAGUUCGGGAGAGGUGAGUGGAACUGCGAGUGUAGAGGUGAAAUUCGUAGAUAUUCGCAAGAACACCAGUGGCGAAGGCGGCUCACUGGCCCGAUACUGACGCUGAGGCACGAAAGCGUGGGGAGCAAACA
rnacentral:rRNA from 1 species